CUAGAAAAAAACACACACACAUUUAUAUCUCGAUCGACUUUCUGAGUCUAUCACAAAUUCUUUUUCUGAAAUUUUAUGUUCAGAAGAAAGGAUUUAUUUGUUUGUUAUAUAGAUGGCUGGAAGAUAAAAGAAAAUAACGACUCCAACCGAUUGACCUUUCGGUUUCGUGCUGAAAGAUAAGCUCCUCUUGCAUCCCUUGUCCGCAGUCCGCACCAUGCAUUGCCUAUGCCUACGACCCCCAAACUGACACGUGGCAUAAACUGGAGCGCGCAUUUCUUUCGUCAUUUUCACCGCCUUGUGCCCGUGUCGUCUCUUGGGGAUGUAGGCAAUUGCAGUAUGGCGCUGACAUGAGACGUGAAGAGUUCGCCCCGGAUCUCAUGUGAAAUAUGACUACCGAUGAAAAUGCUGGUGGAUAAUCAAGAUUAUUGUGUUCGUCGCCAUCAAUGCCUUGAUGAGUUGUGUGAGGCGAUCCAACCAUCCUCCUUUAAUGGUUUGUCCGCAGGAGUCAACUUGGUUGACUUUGGCAACAGCAAAGUAUGCGUUAUCAUCGGUGGUCUCGCAGAAGGCAUUCCAGCCCUUUGCAUUUUAGUAGUUGAAUUAGGGUUGGUACAAGAGGAGGAGCAAAGGUUCUUAUCUGUGCGUGUGCUCGUGAAUCAAGUCUACGAUAUGUUGCUACACAGAGGACCGCCGUCUUGUAGUGCUCGACACCUCCUUUAUUUUCUCUCUCAGCAAGGGAAUGUCGGACGUAGACAAGGAUGCCGUGGAGGAUCAUAUAGGUGAGAAAGCUCCCACCCUGACUUCGGCAUCUCUGGAGGCCUUUUCCAGGAAGAGGUCAUCCGGGAAGGGCGACCCUUCUACAGAAGGUGAUAAAGAUAAUGUGGUCGAGGUUGCUCAAUCUAGGGAGAUUAGUUUAAAGAGAAGAAAGCUAGAGCUGUAGGUCUUGAGAAGUGCGUGGAGGUUUCUCAAUUGAAGGAUAAGGCUAGAGAAUUGGGUAUGGAGGAGAUCAUCGCUUCACAGGAUUCUCAGAAGGCAUUACACGGUUAUUUGGGGGAUGAGGACUCGAGCUCGUUAUGGUCCGAGCACUUUCCUUUUGGGGGUGUGUGGUUCAAGUAUUACUUUGUUACUCAGAUUCCAUUCCCAUGGGAAUCAAAUAUACCCAAGGGGAAGGUGGGAAUUGAAAUGAUGGUAUUUUGAUUCCCUGGAAUCAAACUUGCUUAGGAAUAGCUUUUCAAACUUUGAACCAAACAUGGGAAUAUGAUAUUCCCAUCUUAAAAUUCCUAGGAAUUAUUUAUAAUUCCCCCAACUACACACAUCCUAUGGCUCUUGCUGAUGACCAUGAUCAAUCCCCAAGAGAUGUGAAGUUGAUAAAUGAGAUUGGGGAUGUAGGCAUAAACCGGUACUUGCAGGUUAAUAUGUUGUUUAUGAAAGUAGUUUAUUUGUGCAUAAGAGUGUCAUUAUUGUUGGUGUUAUUUGUGCUUUCUAUAUAGGUGAUUGGAACUCGUUUGUUAUGUGCGGGAAGAACUCGAGAGCUAGCUUUGCUUAAAGAGAAGGAAAAAACUAAUGUAGAUGACUUAUUGAAGAUUGUUAAAGAGAAAGAGAAAGUUGUGAAGGACAUGACCGAGGCUUUCAAGGCGAAGGAAAAAGAGUCAGAGGAAAUGGUAAAACAGAUAACUAAUUUGCAGUCUCAAUUGAAAGGAGGCAAUGAGAGGAUUGAGGCAUUAUCUGUAAAGGGGGGGUGAGCUGGAGAAUGCAUUAAAGGAUGCUAAAAAUUCAAAGGAGCCAAUGGCUUUUGAGGUGUUUGGGAAAGGGUUUGAUCAUGCUAUAAGUCAAAUUAAGGCUCUUGCGCCGGAGGUUAAUGUGGAUGAUUUGGAUGUAUCCAAGAUUGUGGUAAAUGGAGUAUUAGUGGAUGCUGACAUCCCGGAGGAAGGUUGUGAAAAUGCUGCAGAUGUUGAGAAGAAAGACCCAUAGUGUGGUUAUCAUAUGUAUUUUAAUUAUUUGCUAUUAGUAUGGAUGAUGUAGUAUGUUGAUUCUAAGUAUUUUGCUUCUAGCUUUUUGA